UACGUAGGCAGCAAGCGUUGUUCGGAGUUACUGGGCGUAAAGGGUGUGUAGGCGGUCUUUUAAGUUCGGUGUGAAAUCUCCCGGCUCAACCGGGAGGGCGCGCCGGAUACUGAAGGACUCGAGUGCGGGAGAGGAGAGUGGAAUUCCUGGUGUAGCGGUGAAAUGCGUAGAUAUCAGGAGGAACACCGGUGGUGUAGGCGGCUCUCUGGACCGCGACUGACGCUGAGACACGAAAGCGUGGGUAGCAAAC
rnacentral:rRNA from 1 species